rnacentral:rRNA from 1 species
AUUGAACGCUGGCGGCAGGCCUAACACAUGCAAGUCGAGCGGAUGAAGGGAGCUUGCUCCUGGAUUCAGCGGCGGACGGGUGAGUAAUUCCUAGGAAUCUGCCUGGUAGUGGGGGAUAACGUCCGGAAACGGGCGCUAAUACAGCAUACGUCCUGAGGGAGAAAGUGGGGGAUCUUCGGACCUCACGCUAUCAGAUGAGCCUAGGUCGGAUUCGCUAGUUGGUGGGGUAAAGGCCUACCAAGGCGACGAUCCGUAACUGGUCUGAAAGGAUGAUCAGUCACACUGGAACUGAGACACGGUCCAGACUCCUACGGGAGGCAGCAGUGGGGAAUAUUGGACAAUGGGCGAAAGCCUGAUCCAGCCAUGCCGCGUGUUGGAAGAAGGUCUUCGGAUGGUAAAGCACGUUGAGUUGGGAGGAAGGGCAGUAAGUUAAUACCUUGCUGUUUUGACGGUACCAACAGAAUAAGCAACGGCUAACUUCGUG